rnacentral:rRNA from 1 species
ACGAACGCUGGCGGCGUGCUUAACCCAUGCCAGUCGAACGGAAAGGCCCUGCUUUUGUGGGGUGCUCGAGUGGCGAACGGGUGAGUAACACGUGAGUAACCUGCCCUUGACUUUGGGAUAACUUCAGGAAACUGGGGCUAAUACCGGAUAGGAGCUCCUGCUGCAUGGUGGGGGUUGGAAAGUUUCGGCGGUUGGGGAUGGACUCGCGGCUUAUCAGCUUGUUGGUGGGGUAGUGGCUUACCAAGGCUUUGACGGGUAGCCGGCCUGAGAGGGUGACCGGCCACAUUGGGACUGAGAUACGGCCCAGACUCCUACGGGAGGCAGCAGUGGGGAAUAUUGCACAAUGGGCGGAAGCCUGAUGCAGCAACGCCGCGUGCGGGAUGACGGCCUUCGGGUGGUAAACCGCUUUCGCCUGUGACGAAGCGUGAGUGACGGUAAUGGGUAAAGAAGCACCGGCUAACUACGU